UACGUAGGGGGCGAGCGUUGUCCGGAUUUAUUGGGCGUAAAGAGCGCGCAGGCGGCCCGCCAAGUCACCACGUGAAAUCCCCCGGCUCAACCGGGGAGGGUCGGGUGAAACUGGCGGACUUGAGGAUGGGAGAGGGGUGCGGAAUUCCCGGUGUAGUGGUGAAAUGCGUAGAUAUCGGGAGGAACACCAGUGGCGAAGGCGGCACCCUGGCCCAUACCUGACGCUGAGGCGCGAAGGCCGGGGGAGCGAACGGG
rnacentral:rRNA from 1 species